rnacentral:rRNA from 1 species
UACGAAGGGGACUAGCGUUGUUCGGAAUUACUGGGCGUAAAGCGCGCGUAGGCGGCUUUGUAAGUUAGAGGUGAAAGCCCGGAGCUCAACUCCGGAACUGCCUUUAAAACUGCAUCGCUUGAAUCCAGGAGAGGUGAGUGGAAUUCCGAGUGUAGAGGUGAAAUUCGUAGAUAUUCGCAAGAACACCAGUGGCGAAGGCGGCUCACUGGCCCGAUACUGACGCUGAGGUGGCGAAAGCGUGGGGAGCAAACAGG